rnacentral:rRNA from 1 species
CAGGCUUAACACAUGCAAGUCGAGGGGCAGCAUUUUAGUUUGCUUGCAAACUAAAGAUGGCGACCGGCGCACGGGUGAGUAACACGUAUCCAACCUGCCGAUAACUCGGGGAUAGCCUUUCGAAAGAAAGAUUAAUAUCCGAUAGUAUAUUAAAACCGCAUGGUUUUACUAUUAAAGAAUUUCGGUUAUCGAUGGGGAUGCGUUCCAUUAGUUUGUUGGCGGGGUAACGGCCCACCAAGACAACGAUGGAUAGGGGUUCUGAGAGGAAGGUCCCCCACAUUGGAACUGAGACACGGUCCAAACUCCUACGGGAGGCAGCAGUGAGGAAUAUUGGUCAAUGGACGAGAGUCUGAACCAGCCAAGUAGCGUGAAGGAUGACUGCCCUAUGGGUUGUAAACUUCUUUUAUAUGGGAAUAAAGUAUUCCACGUGUGGGAUUUUGUAUGUACCAUAUGAAUAAGGAUCGGCUAACUCCGUGCCAGCAGCCGCGGUAAUACGGAGGAUCCGAGCGUUAUCCGGAUUUAUUGGGUUUAAAGGGAGCGUAGGUGGAUUGUUAAGUCAGUUGUGAAAGUUUGCGGCUCAACCGUAAAAUUGCAGUUGAAACUGGCAGUCUUGAGUACAGUAGAGGUGGGCGGAAUUCGUGGUGUAGCGGUGAAAUGCUUAGAUAUCACGAAGAACUCCGAUUGCGAAGGCAGCUCACUAGACUGCAACUGACACUGAUGCUCGAAAGUGUGGGUAUCAAACAGGAUUAGAUACCCUGGUAGUCCACACAGUAAACGAUGAAUACUCGCUGUUUGCGAUAUACAGUAAGCGGCCAAGCGAAAGCAUUAAGUAUUCCACCUGGGGAGUACGCCGGCAACGGUGAAACUCAAAGGAAUUGACGGGGGCCCGCACAAGCGGAGGAACAUGUGGUUUAAUUCGAUGAUACGCGAGGAACCUUACCCGGGCUUAAAUUGCAUUUGAAUAAUCUGGAAACAGGUUAGCCGCAAGGCAAAUGUGAAGGUGCUGCAUGGUUGUCGUCAGCUCGUGCCGUGAGGUGUCGGCUUAAGUGCCAUAACGAGCGCAACCCUUAUCUUUAGUUACUAACAGGUCAUGCUGAGGACUCUAGAGAGACUGCCGUCGUAAGAUGUGAGGAAGGUGGGGAUGACGUCAAAUCAGCACGGCCCUUACGUCCGGGGCUACACACGUGUUACAAUGGGGGGUACAGAAGGCAGCUACCUGGCGACAGGAUGCUAAUCCCAAAAACCUCUCUCAGUUCGGAUCGAAGUCUGCAACCCGACUUCGUGAAGCUGGAUUCGCUAGUAAUCGCGCAUCAGCCAUGGCGCGGUGAAUACGUUCCCGGGCCUUGUACACACCGCCCGUCAAGCCAUGAAAGCCGGGGGUACCUGAAGUACGUAACCGCAAGGAGCGUCCUAGGGUAAAACUGGUAAUUGGGGCUAAGUC